AGUGAACGCUGGCGGUAGGCCUAACACAUGCAAGUCGAACGGCAGCACAGUAAGAGCUUGCUCUUACGGGUGGCGAGUGGCGGACGGGUGAGGAAUACAUCGGAAUCUACUUUUUCGUGGGGGAUAACGUAGGGAAACUUACGCUAAUACCGCAUACGACCUACGGGUGAAAGCAGGGGAUCUUCGGACCUUGCGCGAUUGAAUGAGCCGAUGUCGGAUUAGCUAGUUGGCGGGGUAAAGGCCCACCAAGGCGACGAUCCGUAGCUGGUCUGAGAGGAUGAUCAGCCACACUGGAACGGAGACGCGGUCCAGACUCCUACGUGAGGCAGCAGUGGGGAAUAUUGGACAAGGGGCUCAAGCCUGAUCCAGCCAUACCGCGUGGGUGAAGAAGGCCCUCGGGUUGUAAAGCCCUUUUGUUGUGAAAGAAAAGCAGCAGGUUAAUACCCCGCUGUUCUGACGGUACCCAAAGAAUAAGCACCGGCUAACUUCGG
rnacentral:rRNA from 1 species